CAUAGAGAUAUAGACACAGGCGCAAAUACAGUCACAUAGAGAUAUAGACACACACUCAUACACACAUAUAUGUAAAUAUACACACAGUCUCAUUCACUUUAUACCACACAUGUAUAAACAUACACAAUCGUAUGUAGACAUACACAUAGGCACUCAGACCACAUAGAUACAUAUGUACACACGUACAAACAUAUGCACAUACACAGAUAUAUAUAUACACACAUACAUCUUUAACCAGAACAACUUUACUUUUGUCAGUUUUAUAUGACAGAGUCUGUAAAAAAAGAUUUCAUCUAGCUUGUGUUCUACUAUUAAAAGAGAAAAUGAAUUUGCUUGUU
rnacentral:lncRNA from 1 species